CAGUUAAAUUUGAAUUGCUGAAAAACAACAGUAAUUUUUUAAUGUAAGUAUACCCCAUGUAAUGUUUGGGACAUACUUAUACUUAAAACAUUUUUGGUUGU
rnacentral:miRNA from 1 species